AAGCCCCCCUUAAGAUGAGAUAUCCCAAUCAAAAGAUUGUAAGACCCCUUGAAGACUACAAGGUAGAUAGGGCAGAGGUGGAAGUGCAGUAAUGUAUGGAGCUGACUGUUACUAAUCGGUCGAGGGCUUGACCAA
rnacentral:rRNA from 1 species